rnacentral:lncRNA from 1 species
CGAACUAAGGUAUAAAUUUGGCAUUAUUUAACUAUGAAACCCACACAUACACGUAACUAAGAGUUCAAUAGCACAAACUUUUACUCAAACACACAUAAUAUACUAGUUGAUGUUCACAUCCUUUCAAGGAAUUGAGUCACAUAAUCUAAAGUUACUUAUCACUUAUUGCUAAUCAAUGAUAUUAUAAAAGAACCAGUCCUAAUUAUACAAAUGUCUAAUAUUCAUUUGACAUAAUAUACAUAGCUAAUGUCUAUCAAAGAAAUACAAAUUCCUAAAAAUACACAUGCUAAUUUCUGGCCAUUUCAUUUCACCUUCGAAGCGUACAUCAAAAUAGUUCGUAGAAAUUUACCUGGUAUUGGAUUACAAGAAGAGGAAAAGGUGAGAGUUAAGCAGCAAACAAAACAGCAACAGCAAGCAGCAAGUGAAACCCAGGAGCACAUUUGAAAACCAAAUGGGAUCCCGAUACGUUUAAUAAAACAGCACAAUAUGCCAAAUAAUAGAAAUGAGCAAAAUCCGAAAGACAAUAGAAACAGAGGAAGACAAACAGUUUUCUGAUUUUGACCUUCAACGAAGAAGAUCUCAAAUUUCAAAGAAGCAAAUCCCACUAGUACUGAUUUUCAGAAGUUAGAAGAAGUGACUUCUUUUAGUUUUCAACUCUCAUCACACCCCAAUUCUUAUGUCAAAGUUCAAACCCCUUUCAAUUCAAAGUUCUAAAAAAAAAUUGUUUCAAAACUUCAACUUUAAAAUCUGGACCCCAUUUCUCUCUUUCUCUCUCCCUCCCUCUAAGUGUCAAAAUUACUCUUAUUUAUCUGUAUAAAACAAGACUCUCUCUUCCCCCCUCACCCCUCCCACCUUAAUUAUUUUUACUAUCCUCUUUUUCUUAUUACCCCUCCAAUUACCCCUCCUAUUCUUUAACUUUUAGCCCCUAAAAUAUUCCUUCUAUGUCUAUCUUUUAAAUAUUUAUCAUUACUAUACUAUUCCUAAUUUCAAUUAAGCAAACACUCUCAUUACUUAAUGGUUCCCUCCUACCCAUUAGUUCAAAUUAAAGCUAUUAGGGGCCCUACUGGGUAUACUAUUCAGUCAAACCAGAUGUCCUUAUUCUUUUUAUUCCUAAAACGCCCUAGGAUCCUACUGUUAUAACUGUCCUAUCCUGACUUCUUAAACUUGUAUUAAACACUUCAAUUCUAAGCCUAUUCAAACCUAUCAACUGACAAAAAUUGAUUCCUAAUCAACCACCAAGUUACAACAGUUAUAACCAAUCCCUCUUAUCAAUCAAUAAGUAGUUCAAAGUAGAUCAGAUCAAAUCAAUGUGGCAUCACAAUGACGGGAAUAGGCUAACCAUAUUAGGAACCAAACAUGGUUACUUAUACAAAGUGAUCAACAUGGAAUCAACAUUAUGAUGAAUCAACAAACUGAAACAAGUCUGAAUCAAGGAAUGGGCUCACAUGAUGAAUAAUAAAGAUAGGGGGUGACUCAAACAUAUGUAGGAUUGUUGUAAGUAUUUUGACAAUAGUUCCCUGAAGCUGGGAAUAUAGAAAGACAAUAACUAAUAAUCAGACAGCUCAAAGAGCACAACCAAAACACAAACGACCUAAUCGAUCAAACUUAAUUAAUCGAUUACAAAAUUUACAACAAAUAAUGCCUAAUCAGAAAAUUUGGACCAAAGAAAAGGGUCCAGAAGAGAAGUAGCAGGUAAUUGACAAAGAUAACGGAAAAUCAGUCGAACAAAAUACUAAAAAAGCCUAACAGAUAAACUAUAAAAGAAAAGUACAAACAAAGAGAAAGGGCCAAAACGUAAUACAAAAUUAAACAACUCGAACAACAAACAAUUAUGGGAACAUUCAUAGAUUCAUAGGAAACUUAUUGAACUUCCUAAUUCGAGGUUUUGACAAUACAAAGACGACAACAAAAUCCAUAGUCAAAAUAGAACAUCCCACUUUAAUCGGAACAGAGAAAAUGGGUAGAAGAUGAACUCAAAAAAUUACAAAAAUGCUAACAAAAAAAGAGGAGUAAAACGGAAACCUACCAGUUCGGAGGGGAGUGGGCUCGAAUCUUCAACUUUCGGACUUGCAGCUAAUCACGAACCCUUCAACUUACAUCGCCAGAUAAGGUCAAUCACUUAUUCUUCCCAACAUAAGUGAAUAACCUUAUUUUGGUGACGAAAUCCAUAUUCGAACUCCAUGAAGAAUUAGAGCUUCAUGCUUUGGAACUGGUCUUUAGGGUUUGAGCCCUUAGAUUUACGAUUCGAUACGAUUGGGUCAUACACGAAGGAAACUAGUUAGGGAUUAGGGAUGAUUGAGUCAUGGACGUUAAGGGGUGUUACUUGGGUGGACAAUGGAGACCUGGCCGCCGGCUUAAAACGGUGGGAACGGAGGGGAGGCUAGGGUUUUGGGUCGUUUAGUGUUGACUCUGGGGAGAAGAGGGGUGAGAGCGUUAGCAAAUCAAAUGGGGGGAAGGUUUUGGGGGUACAGUGGAAUCAAGGCAAUUAAUUUCGACCGUUGAUGAUAAGAAUCCAACGGCCAUGAUCG